rnacentral:rRNA from 1 species
AUUGAACGCUGGCGGCAUGCUUUACACAUGCGAGUCGAACGGCAGCGCGGGCUUCGGCCUGGCGGCGAGUGGCGAACGGGUGAGUAAUACAUCGGAACGUGCCCAGUAGUGGGGGAUAGCUCGGCGAAAGCCGGAUUAAUACCGCAUACGACCUGAGGGUGAAAGCGGGGGAUCUUCGGACCUCGCGCUAUUGGAGCGGCCGAUGGCAGAUUAGCUAGUUGGUGGGGUAAAGGCCUACCAAGGCGACGAUCUGUAGCUGGUCUGAGAGGACGACCAGCCACACUGGGACUGAGACACGGCCCAGACUCCUACGGGAGGCAGCAGUGGGGAAUUUUGGACAAUGGGCGAAAGCCUGGUCCAGCAAUGCCGCGUGUGUGAUGAAGGCCUUCGGGUUGUAAAGCACUUUUGGCGGGAACGAAAGGGAUUGUGCCAAUACCACGGUUCGAUGACGGUACCCGCAGAAUAAGCACCGGCUAACUACGUG